UACGUAGGGGGCAAGCGUUGUCCGGAAUCAUUGGGCGUAAAGCGCGUGUAGGCGGUUAUGUAAGUCUGCUGUGAAAGUCGGAGGCUCAACCUUCGAAUGCCAGUGGAUACUGCAUGACUAGAGUUCGGAAGAGGCAAGUGGAAUUCCUGGUGUAGCGGUGAAAUGCGCAGAUAUCAGGAGGAACACCAACGGCGAAGGCAGCUUGCUGGUACGACACUGACGCUGAGACGCGAAAGCGUGGGGAGCAAACAGG
rnacentral:rRNA from 1 species